CUGUCUGACAUGGCGUACAGCUUGCCUACAGGGAGCUGUGCUCCAGGGAGUAAGUUGAUUUGACAGUCAAAGGGUCUAUGCGGGGGUAGUUGGUCAGCUUCCCUUUCGCUGAAGACGUCACGGAGAUCUGCAUAUUGUCGUGGUACCUUCACGUUCUCUGUUACUUCAGUCCCUGCUAGGGUGGCUUGGACCCCUGCCAAACCCUUCCCUCUUUGCAGUGUUCUAAGCAAUGUGCUGAACCAAAAGAAACCACUCUCUGAUGCCAGCCCACCAGCGGAUCAUGUAACGCUAGCCAGCUCAUCCCCAAUAUAAUGGGAGCUCCUCCCAAGGUGGCCACAUUAAAAGCUAUCAGUUCGGUGUGCCUUGCUACCUUCAUUAUCAUUGGGACGGUCUGCAAGCUGACUUCUCCACCCAACAGCUCCCUGCCAUCGAUCGUGGUCACCUGCAGGGGGCUGCUUAAAGGGAUUGUCUGUAUCUGGUGUUCAGCUGCAAACUCUUUGCUCAUGAAAUUGCAGGAGCUGCCUGAGUCCAACAGCGCCUUUAUCUUUAGAGGGUGUCCGUUUGGCAGCUCUAGCGUCACUUCUAUCACUGGGCGGGUUUAGGAGGUUCUGGCGUGGGCACUCUCACUGCUCUUUGGCCUGGCUGCUGUGCCCUGACAGUGGCAGCCAGGCGUUGGCUUUACUUGCUCCGGUAUAUUUUCCUCUCUUCCAUCCACAGCCCCUACCAUCCCUUGCCAUUCUUUCCUCUGGGGCAGACUCUGGCAAAGUGACCUGGCUGUUGGCAGAGAUAGCAUUUCCGGGCGCCUUUUCCCUCCUUCUUUGCCCCCUCACUGGGCUUUGAAACUACGCGCGCGCGCGCUGUUCCGAUUUCCAUCGGCUCUGCCGGUGGGAAAGUUGGCUCUGGAAUGUCUGGAAUGCGGAACUCCUUCCAACGUUCCCCUUUCCCUUCCCGCCUCUCCAAUGCUCUCGCCUCCUGGCGCGCUCCUAUGGCCAGCGCUGAUUUGGUCAGCUGGUCCAUAGACUCCGCCCUGGGCGCCCGGGAAAGUUCGUCUUUCACAGCCGAAGAAAGCCCUUCUUCAAAGAGCAUUUGAAUGGGUUCCGCCGAUAAGUCCCACCCCAAUCUGUGAACAAGCAUGGUGAACUCAGUCCAGUACUCACGGACAGAUCGGCUCCCCUGUUUGCAACCCAUUAACUGUCUGCGCACCACUCCCUUUUCAAUAUCGCUGGAAAACAUCAGAUCCAUGGCGCGAAAGAACUUCAUCGUGUCCUUUAAGACGUCACUAUUCGCUGCCAUCAGGGGUCUAACCCAGUCUCUCGCCCCUUUUCAAGAUGCUCAAUCACGAAAGCCACUCGUGAUUCCUCGUCAGGGAAUUCAUCAAACUGCAGAUUGAGGGCAUAUUGCAUUUCUGUCCGAAAACCAUGAUAGUUUUUGGGCUCCCCCCCCAAACUUCUGCACCAAUCCUGGUACCUUUCUGGCGAACUGGGUGGCUUUCCCCCUUUUGUCUGCAUCCUGAGCCCUCCUCUCCUCAAGCCUCGCCGUUUGCAUCGCUAGCUGGACCUCCAACAUCUGGUACCUUUCUUCCAGGCUUGGACCCGCUCCAGCUCCUGCUUCUCCGGUUCCGGCUGGGUUGCUCAUGAUGCCUUCUCCUGCACAAGCUGCUUUCAAAGACUGUCGGAAUGCUGUGAUGGGAUGAUGAGCUGCUUGUGCGUAAAAUCGUAUCCCCUCAGAGUUUGUUCAAGUCCACAAACCUCUGUCUGUGACGGAGCCCUCAGACAUGGCUACUCUAGUCACUAGCAGAUUCCGACAGUGGCUGCUUUCGUAAUCGCUUCCAACAUAAAAGCUCCUUAACGGAAACACGUCUUCUGGAAUCUCUGCGUGACAGUUUCCGGCGAGGAGUGGGUGUUCUUACAGGAGGUGCUGAAACCUCCCCACUGUUUUCACUGGAAGUGUCUCUGAGCCAUCCCUCCAGCUCAGCUCCUCUCCCCCUGCUGGUUCCCUCUUCAGCUGCUGCGUCUCUCCCAACCUGUGUGAGCCCUUUCACCUCCCUGUUGGUUCCCUCUUCAGCUGCUGCGUCUCUCCCAACCUGUGUGAGCCCUUUCACCUCCCUGUUGGUUCCCUCUUCAGCUGCUGCGUCUCUCCCAACCUGUGUGAGCCCUUUCACCUCCCUUCCGUCCGAUGGCAGUUCCCUGACAUCACCAACUCAAUCUAUGGAUGAAGUGAGGUCCUGUCAAGUCUUGCAAACGAACCAGAUAAUGCUUGAGAUUCACCGAUACACUCAUAGGUGGAUGAACCGCAGACAAAUUACUAUGUCCUUGUCUCAGCUCCUGAAUUACCAUUACCAAAAUGUAGAUCUAGAAAAUUUCCACUUCCUGCCUACCGUGAGAAACACCAUGCGCCUAUUUAUGACCUUUAGGUCAUCAGCCCUCCCAUCUCGACUCAUGGAGAUAAAGGAUACUCUAUGGUGGUUCCAUUCUCUCCGCCCAGUGAGGUUAUUUAAGGACGAAACAAGGAGGCAAUUGGUCCCUUGCAUAGAGUCAAAGCUAAUGCGGAUAAGGGAAACCAAGCUCAACACUAGAAACACUAAUUGCCCGAAGGAAAAAAAGAACUCUGUAAGCCUAGAAUUACAAGACCUGAAGAAGAGGCUAAUGAAUAUAAAGACUGAGAUUUCUACCCAAAAUAUAAGGACAGUAGAGCCUAGAGCACAAUAUUUAAAGACGUCCAACAGCUCUUUAUCCCAUAGAAAGACAUCAGUGCAACUCCCUGUUCCCUUUUCAAACGACACCGAAUUAGAUGAGGUAUUUGGCGCCUCCGACAUUUCUAUGGGAACAACACCUAAAGAACUCCAUGCUGCUGACAAUCUGGAGAUAUCCAGCACCAAAUCUACAUCUGGACCUUUGCCUAAUGUUCCAAAAACUUAUCAGAAUGAUCAACCUUCUCUACUGUACUCCUGGCGAGACAGGAUGAACAGAUCUUCUGAAUUUGAAGCUGGCUCUUUGUUGACCAGUGAUCCACAUUUUAUAGCACAUACCUCAUUAAUACUCCCACAGCCACAGAUAGAACCAACAAUCCUCCAAUCAACCCAGGAUGGAGAGGGGGAUUGACAGUUAACGAAACACCAUGGGACUGUCCUCCCCACUUGGGGUGCGGUUGGUUGGGUUUUAUCUUCUAGGGAUACUUACCCUAUCAAACCUCCACCUCUUCCCCAUACCAUUUUGACCCAGGAGUCCUCGCCCAAGGAUGACUUGUUAUUGAGGGGAUGUUACCCCUCUAUUGGGGAGACUAGUAUGGGGUCUGGGAUUUCCACUAUUGAAGGGCUAGGGAGGAAUGGCGGUGGGGCUAGAUAUCUCUAUCGGCGAAGUGAUCCUCGAACCCCUUCCAUUCUACGCCCCAUCCCAAGGGAUGAGGGUAGGGAGAGCAAGGAUUACCCACCUCUGUCAUUGGUGCUGUGCAAUGCCAGGUCCAUAGGCAACAAAACCGCCACCAUGCGUGACUUUUUUGUCUCGCAGGGGAUUGACCUGGCUUGCGUGACGGAGACCUCCUUUCCAUGGAGGCGCAAGUUACAGCAACACCCAAGGCGACAUUUUUCCACCUUCGCCGCAUCAAGCAGUUGGUCCCUUACCUCUCCCGCCCCAACCUGGCCACAGUGAUCCAUGCGAUGGUCAUCUCCAGGCUUGACUACUGUAAUUCGCUCUAUGCGGGGCUGCCCUUGAAGCUGUCCCAGAAACUCCAGCGGGUGCAGAAUGCUGCAGCGAGGCUCCUCACGGGGUCUCUGCCAUGGGAGCAUAUUCACCCAGUGCUUUUCAAGCUGCACUGGCUCCCGGUGGAGUACAGGGUCAGAUUUAAGGUGUUGCUUUUGACCUUUAAAGCCCUUCAAGGCCUAGGACCCUCAUACCUACGGGACCGCCUCUCCCGGUAUGCCCCACGGAGAGCCUCAAGGUCCAUAACUAGCAACACCCUAGUGGUCCCAGGCCCUAAGGAAGUUAGAUUGGCUUCAACCAGAGCCAGGGCCUUUUCAACUCUGGCUCCCGCCUGGUGGAACGCUCUGCCUCAUGAGACCAGGGCCCUGCAGGAUCUGAUUUCUUUCCGCAGGGCCUGUAAGACAGAGUUGUUCCGCCUGGCCUUUGGCUUGGAGCCAAUUUGAUUCCCUCCCUCUUUUUAUUUUUUCUUUUCCUUCUCCUCCUGCGAUGAGGCUACAUUUUAAUAUUUUAAUGUUUCAAUAUUUUAAUGUUGUAUUUUAAUGUUGUUUUUAAGUUGUAAUAAUUCAACUUGUUUUUAUUAUUGCUUGUAAGCCGCUCUGAGCCCGGCCUUGGCUGGGGAGGGCGGGGUAUAAAUAAAAAUUAUUAUUACUAUUAUUAUUACUAAUGAGGUAGGGUGGAGAAAGAAAUAAUGGAAAUGAGAUGCAGAUAAAAUCUAUCCAGCUUAGACUCACUUUUUCCUCUAAAUUUGUUUUGUAAUUAUCUUUGCGUUUCUGUGCUUUUGAUCCUUAAGGUGCAGGUUUUUAUGGUUUGCUGAGGAAAGGGGUAUACCCUCCAUAAAACAAAUAAAAUUCUCUUGCAU